AGGACGAACGCUGGCGGCGUGCCUAACACAUGCAAGUCGAGCGGGGACAUACGACGGAGUCGAAGUUUCGGAUGGAGACGAAGAUGUAUGUUCUAGCGGCGGACGGGUGAGUAACGCGUGAGCAACCUGUCCCUUACAGGGGGAUAACACAGCGAAAGUUGUACUAAUACCGCAUGAGACCACGGCAGGACAUCCUGCAGGGGUCAAAGGAGCAAUCCGGUAAGGGGUGGGCUCGCGUCCGAUUAGAUAGUUGGUGAGGUAACGGCCCACCAAGUCGACGAUCGGUAGCCGACCUGAGAGGGUGAUCGGCCACAUUGGGACUGAGACACGGCCCAAACUCCUACGGGAGGCAGCAGUGGGGAAUAUUGGGCAAAUGGGGGAAACCCUGACCCAGCAACGCCGCGUGAGGGAAGAAGGUUUUCGGAUCGUAAACCUCUGUCCUUGGUGAAGAGGAAGAGACGGUAGCCAAGGAGGAAGCCCCGGCUAACUACGUGCCAGCCGCGGC
rnacentral:rRNA from 1 species